rnacentral:lncRNA from 1 species
AAGCACCUACCCAACCACUGUAAAAAUAGCUACUCAUGAUGAUGUCGGGCAUCGUGCUAAGUGCUUUAUGUAUAUUCUCUCAUUUCACAAAACGGCACCUCUAUAGGUUCACUUCCACACAUGGGAAACCAAAACUUGGAGAAGGGAACUUGUCUAAGCUGAUACAGGUAAUCCAGGUGCCAUCUUUCUUGACAGUCUGGAGGAACCAGCGAGCAGCUCCCAGCUCGGGUUCACACCGAGGAGGAAUGCCCUUCAUGCUCUUCAAGGAGCUCCUGCCCAUCUCUCCUUCCAAAGAACAUUGGAAGUUGCUUCAUCUCUCCACCCCGUCAAUGAGUUUUGGUCAGAGGGUAAAGACAGUGUUCCUUUUGGAACUCAUCCUGCCCUGCCAAGGAGGGAGAACCAGACGCUCUGUGUCUCUUGCUGAUGACACUGCUCCACGGGUUGUUGUGAAGAGUCAAGGAGGCAGUGGAAGGAAAAGUUCUGGAACACAUGGAAUGUGAUGACCCCCAGACAGAGAGCCUAUGCUGAUAGCCGUCAUCAGUGACAACUGGAAGAUCAGGGUAUAGGGCGUUGCUCCGGUCUCUGAUGCAUAGCCAGUAAAACAAGGGAUUAUCGGGAACUAAGACCAGAUGUCUGCCCCCACCUGGAGACCAGCUGCCUCCCCUACCUGGAAACCAGCCCCGUGUAUAACUGGCCUGUAGUCUUUGUUCU